rnacentral:lncRNA from 1 species
GGUCAUCAAAACUAUGAGGCACGUAAGGCUUUGUUCUCAAACUUUAAUUCAUAACAAUUUCUGUCUCAAGCUUUUUAAAUUAUUAAAAUCAAGUUUUACAACUAAAUUAUUAAAAUCAAGUAAAUACUAAUAUUUCAGCAAUAUGAAAGUGAUGUAACCUGACCGUAUUAAGAUGUCACAUCAUAGUACUAUUAAGAUGUCAUGUCAAUUUUAUGCUAGCAAUAGUUAACUAAAUUUCGUUGCGCGACUUGAUUACAACAAUUUCAAAAAUUCGAGUCAAAAAUCACUACAAAUUAAAAUUGGAUGAUCAAAGAGUCACACAACUUUCCUAACUAUCUAAGUUUCUUAUCUUAUCGCAAUUUUUUCAGCUAUAACAGUAAGUUUGUGUAAUAUGAUUUUGUCUCCAUAAUAAAAGAUGGAUGAAUUAGUAUACUGUGAAUAAGGGUCUCAUUUUCAACUUUAGAAUGUUUAAAUAAACGAUCCAUACUGUUAAAACUGAUUUAGAAUAUUUGAAGUUUUUAGAAAUAAAAUUUUAUAUUUUUUGAUAUAGGUACUUUAUGAUCAAAUUAUGUCAAAAUUAUUAAUUUUCAAUGGCUAGUAUAGUGAGUUUAUAAUUUAACAGUUCAAAAGAUUCUAAAUUUAUUCAAAUUUUGUUAGAAAAUAUUUUGAACUAUCUAGAUCAAGAUCAACCUUCCUAAUCUUGAAUUUAAAGGUUCUAUCUUCAAAUUUUAAAAAUUAAUUAAUUUCAACCAUUUAUGUUAGCAUGAUUUACUUGCUAAGUAAACGAUGUCGAAAAUAACUUAAAGAUAUUCCUAAAAACUUCAUAUACUCUAAAUCAUAUUUAACAGUGUGGAUCGUUGAUUUGAAUUAUCCUAAAAUCACAAAUGACACUAUAGUACCGGGGCUUCGGUACUAUAGAUAGUAUAGUAGUCUAAUUCUCUGAUUUGAAUUAUCCUAAAAUCAUAAACGACACUAUAGUACCGGAGCUUCGGUACUAUAGAUAGUAUAGUAGCCUAAUUCUCUAUCUCUCUCUCUAUAAAUAUAGUUAUAUAUAUGUG